UAGCUGAGUGGAUAAAGCGAUGGCGUUUGAAGCGAAAGGUACUGGGUUCGAUUCCCAG
rfam:Schistosoma mansoni, Puerto Rico, WGS project CABG01000000 data, contig: 0010